rnacentral:rRNA from 1 species
UACGAAGGGUGCAAACGUUGCUCGGAAUUAUUGGGCGUAAAGCGCCCGUAGGCGGCAUAACAAGUCGGAUGUGAAAUCCCUCGGCUUAACCAAGGAAGUGCAUCCGAAACUGUUGUGCUUGAGUACUUAAGAGGAUCGCGGAAUUCCCGGUGUAGAGGUGAAAUUCGUAGAUAUCUGGAGGAACACCGGUGGCGAAGGCGGCAUCCUGGACCAAUUCUGACGCUGAGGAGCGAAAGCCAGGGGAGCAAACGGG